GCUGCAUUGAAACUCAGUGAUAUGCAGCUUAGUGGCGGACGGGUGAGUAACGCGUGGGCAACCUGCCGCAUACCGGGGGAUAACAGCCGGAAACGGCUGCUAAUACCGCAUAAGCGCACAGCGCCGCAUGGCGUGGUGUGAAAAACCACGGUGGUAUGCGAUGGACCCGCGUCUGAUUAGCUUGUUGGCGGGGCAGCGGCCCACCAAGGCGACGAUCAGUAGCCGGCCUGAGAGGGCGGACGGCCACACUGGGACUGAGACACGGCCCAGACUCCUGCGGGAGGCAGCAGUGGGGAAUAUUGCACAAUGGGGGAAACCCUGAUGCAGCGAUGCCGCGUGAGUGAAGAAGCAUUCCGGUGCGUAAAGCUCUGUCAGCAGGGAAGAAAAAAAGGUCCUACGGACUUUUAGACGGUACCUGACCAAGAAGCCCCGGCUAACUACGUGCCAGCAGCCGCGGUAAUACGUAGGGGGCAAGCGUUAUCCGGAUUUACUGGGUGUAAAGGGAGCGCAGACGGCAGUGCAAGUCCGGAGUGAAAGCCCGCGGCCCAACCGCGGGACUGCUCUGGAAACUGCACAGCUGGAGUGCAGGAGAGGUAAGCGGAAUUCCUGGUGUAGCGGUGAAAUGCGUAGAUAUCAGGAGGAACACCGGCGGCGAAGGCGGCUUACUGGACUGUGACUGACGUUGAGGCUCGAAAGCGUGGGGAGCAAACAGGAUUAGAUACCCUGGUAGUCCACGCCGUAAACGAUGAUUACCAGGUGUCGGGGGGCAUGAGCCUCCCGGUGCCGAAGCCAACGCAUUA
rnacentral:rRNA from 1 species